rnacentral:ncRNA from 1 species
UAAAAAACGUUGAUAGAGAAGAGUAGCUUGCAAAAUCGCCAUAUAGGGAGAGAAUGCCGUAGACUGAAAGCAUUCUUAUGGUAGACGGAAGUGAAUUCACCUCUGGAGUUGACGCCAGGACCAUAUAUAUGUAAAGGCGUUCCGGUCUAAGAAGCCGUUAUAACAAUUAAGUGGGCAGACUUGUUCUGUCAAUUUAGGGUGGUACCGCGAAUUUACCUCGUCCCUUUU